UUCUUCGGGUUGGGUUUGUGGGGGGGGGGGAGUGAAGGAAAUUACAGCGCUGCCAGCUCCGCUUGCAUCCCCCGUCCCUCUUUUUCUUCCUUCUCUCUUUUGCUUUUGUUUGUAUUUUUCCCCCCUGUUUUUGUUGCCCCCCCCCUUUCUUCUCCUUCCUCCCCUCCUUCCUUCUCCUUCCCCUCCUCCCUCGCUCCUUCACCUCAUCCUGCCCAUCGCCAUGUUCGCCCCUUUUAGGAAGACGGAGGAAUGCGGAGCGGCGGCGGCUGGGGCUGCCAAGAGCCCGAGGGCCGCUGAUUGGAGACUCCGCAUCAGAUGGGGCCGCGGCUGCCCCCCUUAAAGGGACAGAGCCCCUCCGCCGAGCCGCCCACGCGUGACCGCCCCCUCCACGCGUGACACCCCCCGGCAUCGCCUCCCACCCACCCCCGUGUGGAAGCAGCACUAACGACACGUCCAUCAUCCUCUGUGAGCGUCAUUAAGUCCCCGCUGGGGAAACUGAGGCACGGGAGGGAUGGCAGCUUUCCCAAGAGUAAAACCCCCAGAUUUGGUUUUUUGGGUUGGGAAAGCUCAGUGUGGGGAGUGAUGGGCUGGUACUGAGCUUAGUUGGGUUGAGAAAGGGGUUUGUGGAGCACUCUCCUGCCAUGGUGGGAACACAGAGGUGUCCCUGCCUAUAGCAAAGGGGCUGGAACUGGACGAUCUUAAAGGCCCCUUCCAACCCAAACCAUUCUGUGAUUCUAUUUUAAAGCACUUUUGGGGUUCACAGUGGGGUCUCGUGGGUGAGGUUUUGCGACUUAGGCUGCCAGCACUGUGUGGGUCUCACCAAGCCCUCCCCACACCCCUAGUUCAAAUCACACAUCUCCCCACGCGCUUGAGGCACCAAAAUCACCCCAAAUCCCACCUGCUGCCCUGCAACCAAACCCCACAGCAGCUCCGAUGUGUCCCCCACACCCGCAUCUGCUGCGUCCCCAUCCCACCUUUUGGGCCGUUUCCCUCUUGCCAACCCCUCCCUUUUGCAGACAGAAGUGCAGUAACGUCUUGCACUUGUUUAGACUCGGUUGCCGUGCGCGGUAACUUCUUCCAGAUGUGCGCGGCCCUUUGCAUAAUGUCGCUGCAGCCACGUCCUGCCUGUGCUCCGUUUCCUGGGCUUAUUAUUUAACGUUUGGGUUUUAAUCCUCUGUCUUGCUUUCAACCAGGAAAAAAAAAUAAAAGAAUCCUGGCUGAGACGGCCGGCACUUUUCCCUGUAUCAUAGAACUCUUCCCAGGAUGAGUGCUUGGCCUGCCCUAUGUGUCUCAGCGCCUGGAAGCGUUUCCAAGAGCUCCACGAGAUGCUGGAGGACACCCAGCGGACACGCGGACACCGAUGGGGAGAUGAUCCCCUGAAGAUCACUGCCAUCAACAUGAGGAGAAAUGUCCCAUGAAGGAGCUCCAGACAGAUCCGACAUCGUUCUGUCACCAACAUUCAUUUGACGAUGGUGACUGCAGCAUUAUUCCUUAACGAUGAAGCAUGCGUGGUUGCGUUGGCCAACACUCCUCAUGUUGGGCUCACAUGGAAUUUGCUGAUCUUCCUGUACCUCCCAGCAAACCUCACCCAGCCCAGUUUGGUGGGAUCCCAUCCGACCCCGUCCAGUGACUUUGCUGAGUGGGAAUUUGGCACUGAGGGACGUGGGUAUGGUGGGGUGGACUUGGGAAUCUCAGAGGUCUUUUCCAGUCCUAAUGGUUCUAUCAUUCCAUGGAUUGGUCCUCUGGUGGCAGGGAAGCCCUAGAGAUAAAUGUAGGUGAUGUACAUCCUUUGGGGAUGUAUUGCCAGCCCAGCAACAGGUUUUCACCCAACAGCUGAUUUUCUGGGCAGACACAGGGAGUGUGGAAAAGCAGGGAUCACAUCAGGCCAAGAGACAGAGAGAGAAAUAAUAGGGAAAGCAAGAACAUUCCUGGAGGCUCUCUGGCCUCAAUCCCUGCAGCCUCCAGAGAGGAGGAGAGAGACAAAACAAAAGGCAUGAGGGAAGAUGGAGCCAAAGGCGACGAGGUUGGGAGCAGCAGCACCAGGAUGCGGCCGACCAGGCCGGGAGGGCCCGGGGGUCGCACUGAAAUCAGUGCCCUUUUAUGGCUGGGUGAGAAGGGCUGCAGCACAGAGCCUGUCCUACUAAGGGAAAACGGCUCCUGUUCAGUGUGUGCAAUGAGAACACCCACAGUGUGAGCGCAGCGCGGCUCCCAAAGGACGGCUGAAAUGCGGCUGCUUUGCGCUGACCCCAAUUCUUCUCUACUUUUUUUUUUUUCCUUCUCCCUUGAUUCUAACUGAGGGAAGGAAAGGGUUUUUUAUGAAGGGGUUAUAGAGAGGUUUUAGGUGUUGGAUGAGGUUUGUGGAGGCCGUGCAGGGACAUGGGCAGGUUGUGGUGGUCAUCACGCGGCCCCAAGCACUGCCAUUGCUCUAACUGAGGGUGGCCCACCUCCCCCUGAGCCUCCUGCAUCCUUUCCUCCCUAGAAGAAAAAAUCCCACCAAAAACAGCUUUUGCUCUUGGCAGGUAUUAUUCCGUAAUAAUUAGGUUUGCUUUUUACACACAGUGAUGCCAAUGUGAGGAAGUUUAAUUAAAGUCCUCGAACGAGGAGAAGAGCUAAAUAUGAAGGCCAAAAUUGCUUGGAGGAGGAAGAGGCAGAACCCCCUCCACACACACACUUCUAGAUUUCCUGAAGAAUAUUUAGUUUGUUUUACCCUGAAAAAAGAAAUGAUGGAAUCAUUGACUGCUUUGCGCAAGUUCAGUGUGGUGUGGUGAGCAUGGAAGGGAUGGGGUGAUGGUUGGAUCAGAUGAUCUUAGCAGUCUUUUCCAAUCUUAAUGAUUCUACGAGUGUCCUGCUGAAAGCCGAGGGUUUCUCAUUGCCUUAUUUCUUCAUGCUCAGCCUGGAGGUCUGAGUUAACACUAUAUUGGGGAAAAAAGCUCAUUUUGAGCAUGGAUUAAGUGCAGGUUUGAAGAUCAAGGUCUCUGUGUUGGAUUCACCAGGCAAGCCAAGCUGUUCUCACCACUUUGCAUUGGAGGAGCUCUCUUUACUAACAGCUUGGCUUGGCAGUUUUAGCACUGAGCGGAAAGAAACAUUUGGAUUCUCCCACCAGGCUUCCUUUGGCCAUUUCUGGCUACUGCUUUCCUGUAUGAGCUAUGUAACUCCUGUUGGCUGCCGGGCAAAUGUAAAUUCACUGAAUCUUCACCUUUUCUCAUGAAAAACAUAUGUGGACUCUGUGUUUUAGGUAGAAGAACCACAGAAUUUCAUAAAUAGUUGGGUGAUUUAAAAACCCUUGAGUGGACCACUAAGGAUACUGAGCUGCCGCAGGAAUGGAGAAAAGGUUCUUUUAUUGCUGGAAAGCUGGUUAAAAGGCAGGGAGCAAAAGGGCUUAGUGGUCUCUUUUGGGGAUGGAAGAGUGUGGCUCAGCAGAGCCUGGCACUGGGUCAGCACCAGCAGCAUCCGGGUGGACAAGGAGCACAUCCAGAUGCUCAGCUCUUCUAGUGUCACCAAAUGCCACGCUGAUGGUAAGCAAUUCCACCAAGAAUUCAGCAAAUUGUGUUCAAGGUGGCAGCCAAAGAAAGCCAAGAUGCUUUUCUCAAGCAUGUCCAUUGCAGUGCGUAACUGUGAUCCCCAAGAGAAGCAUGAUGGUUUUGGAGAAGCUGAGAGGACAACGAAACUUAUACUGUCAUGGAAUCAUCUAGGUUGGAAAAGACCUCCAAGAUCACCAAGUCCAACCACCAGCCUGACCUACUGAGUCCCACUGCUGAGCCACGUCCCCAUGCCAGGUGACCUUCCGAGGUGAGGUGGGAAGGCCAGGAUUGUUCAGCCUGGAGAAGGAAAGGCUGAGGGGAGCUGGUGAACAAGAUGCCCUGAAUCAUGAAGGCCAUGAAUAUAGUAAAUAAAGGCUGAAAUCUAAUAUUUCAAAUGAAUAAAAAGAUGCAGGAAAAGCACAUCUGCAUGGAGCAGUUAACUGGACCAGGCUCACCCAGGCCAUAGAACCACAUGGGCUGAAGAAGACCUUCCAGAUGAUGUCUAACCAUCCGUGCAAAUACAGCAAGAUGCACUUGGAUUGUUCCUUAUCUCAGCUAGACUUCAUCAGAACCUAGCAACAAGCUUUAAUUCUUAUCCAGUGACACAUGUAAAGACUGAACUGCAGCACCUACAGAUGUCACCUUCAGGUGUCACCCAGAAAUCUGGCAAGGAGAGGUCAUGCUCACAGCAUGGCAUCGCAUCCACUCACUGAUAAGCCAGGUGUGAAAGUUGCAUGGGUCUCCCCAGCAUGGGGCUUGCCAUUGAAAGGCAUCUUUACGUACCAAAGGAGAACGUGGUAAGAGGCAGCAUUUCAUUAGUCAGGAAGUUAUAAAUUGAUAGCUUGAUUGAAAUAAUUAUCAAGAUUAAGAACUACAGGAAAUACCCAGAGCUGCAUUUACAGUCAAGAGCAUCUCCAGGGAAAGCUUCACCCAGGCUGAAGCUUCAUUGUACGAAGCAAAGGCUGUGGGAUGCUGCAUGUCAGCACCAAGUCCCGCAGGGCAGACCUCCAUCUGCCCUCUGUGCUGGCUGCCUCUGGGAGCUCAGCAGAGACCAAAUAAUGGUGGACAUGGACUGCUUUUCCUGGGUCAGACCAUUUAUUUAUUUUCUUAGAACAAACCAGAUUCUUACUUUUCCCUUAGAAGGAGCCCCCUCGCAGGGAGUUGGAACUGGAUGGGCUUUAAGGUUCCUACCAACCCAAACCAGUCCAUGAUUCUAAGAUUCCAGUUCUGAUUCCAUGAUUUUGAGAGUGGUUUUUAAGACAGCCAAGGGAACGCUGGUGAAGUGGCAAAGUAGGUAUGUGUGAAGUACAUUAAUUUUAAAGUGCUUUCGCUCCUCUCUGGCUUUUAGGUCCCUGGAAUCCAUGGGGAAAUUUUCCAUCCCAUUAGAGCUAUAUAUUAGUAAUGGAAAAAACGAGAUCAGCGGCAAGAAACCCUUUUGUUCAGUAAGUACUCAGAUAUAGAGAAUACUCAAAUACCAGGAAAAGCAGUGAACUUUCCUUCCUUGCUAAAAGUGAUGGCUGUGGGGGGUAGCCCUACAAUAAAAUAAAACAUUUCUGAAGUGACGAAUAGGAAUAAUCUGAUUUAUAUUAACAUUAAAGAAAAGUAUUAAGAACUGCUCGGUGUUCAUAUUGGCAAGUCAAGGAGGAUGCUGAAAAGGGAUGAAUUAGGGGCUAGAAAAGGGCUGAGGGCAUAUAGCUCAGGGAGCCCACAUAGGUGCUAGGGUUUUCAAAGGCAAUGGGAUAGGGAGGAUAGAAGUGCAGCCUGCAAACAUGAAGGCACCAGGCACCUCUGGGAAAUGCUUUGCCAAACCCAGAAGCCAGAGGUUGGGUCAGCUGAGCUCAAGUAGGAGUUGAGUUUCAAUGGGUGAUGCUCAUGGUAUGGGAUUGGAACCACAUGAUCUCUGAGGUCCCUUCCACCCCAAGCCAUUCUGUGACUCCACGAUUCUGUGAUGGUGAUAAAGGACAAGUGUGGAAUGAAAGCCCCAAAGCAACUUACUAAAAAUCACGUCCAGAUUUGUCAUUGGUGAGCAUUUUAAAAUUGAGAUGUGGGCAGUGGGAGAGGUGGCAGGGGAUGGUGACAUGGAGCUGGAGGCAAGCAGGGCUGCAGGAGGGAACAGAGCCUGGAGUUGUUAUUUACGCUUUGCCUUGGAACUAAGGAGAGCCGCAGCCCAGGAGUCCCUGGGGAGCUGUCCCAGGCCUGGUACUGCUCAAAAUAUUUUGUUAAUAAUUACUUGUAUGAAUAGAAAAUUUGCUUAUUGCAGCUGCAAAUGAUACCAAGCUGGGAGAGACUUGGAGCUCUUUGGAGCAUGGGCUGAAACUUCAAAACAAACUUGACGCAUUAGAGAAAUAGCUUGGGAAAAAAAAUAAUAAUAAAUAGGCUGCGAUUCAUUGGAAACAAAGGAAAAACUUGCUGCUUGUGUAAGAAGGCUGGGGCUGCAGAGCACAAAGGCAAACAGCCCUCAUCACACUGCUGCAAGAGUGGUAAACUGUAGGCAGGGAUGAGCAGGGGGGAUGGGGUCUGCAAGGACACAGACAGCAAUGCCUGGGUCUGCUUGGGAGCAUGGUGUUGGCUGCACAUGGGGUGGCUGAGGGGCUACGAAAUUGCUCAAACAUAAAUAAUAAUAAGGCAGAGGUAAGGUCCAAGAUCAGUCAUAGAAUUGCUUGGGUUGGAGGGGACCUUCAAGCUUAUGAAACUCCAACCCAUCCUAUCUAGGGCUGCAAACACCUCCAGGGAUGAGGCACCCACAGCUCUCUGGGCAGCAGUGCCCGUGCCAACAGGGCCGUCAGGAGGGCACUUCAGAGUGUGGGAUGGAGUCAAGCAGAUGGGGCCAGGCUCUGACCAUGCCCUUCUCCCUGGUACCUUCCAAAGUCAUUCUCGUGGCUUUCACCACUUGCUGCCAUGGGGGAACCAGAACAGGGGAACAGCUCAUCCUCGUCCCUACGAGCACGCACCAUGACUUGGGCUGGGAAGAAAGCCCAGCCCCUUCCUGGCAGCAGUAGAAAAUAAAGGGAAGGGAUGCAGCAGCCUUAAGGCCAGGAUGAGGGUACGUGUGUUGGGCCUCUGCUGCAAUUGUGAAAUAUUACUUUCUUAUAAAUGCAUGCUUAUCUAUAGACAGAGAUCUGUAUCUGUACAGAUCACAGACUGAUUCUGUGCAUGCAGCCCUAUCUGCUUCGAGGGCCACAUGGAUGUUCUCCAGUUCACGGCUGUGUCCCUUUAAUUGCUUACAAGAUUUCUGACAGUUGUGCCUUCUCACAAGGCUACUUGUGAAACCGGGUAGAAAACCAUUAGCUCCACAGCCGUGUAUACUGAAAUGAUUUACAGGGAUGCGAGGGAGGGGCGGAGCACGCAGAGCUUUAUCUUCUCAUGAUUUAAAUCCCAGGCAGCGUUGGGUUUGGCAAUUGCUCCAGAUGGAUUGCAGAGUGCAGCUCAAGGUCAUCUAAAUACUGCGUCGGGCUCCUGCCGGUAAGAGCCAGUGCAAAACACACCAAGGCAGCCACAGACAUUUAAUACACCGCCGGAUACCCGGUGAUCUUCAGAAAGAGCACUUGAAACGCUCCUUACCCUGGAGAACAAGGACACAAAUAACCCUUGUUUGAAAGCGAUAAAGCAGCAGGAAUGCAAUCUCUCCGCAUGUAGAUACGGCAGGAAGGCUGUGCUGCAAAUGCAGGCUUUGUAAGAACCAUUUGUUCAUCUGAUGGACACCCUCACAGCCAGACAGCUCAACUCUUCUGAUUCUGGAGAAGGUUCCUUCUUUUCCUUCUGUUUUCCCCCCCAGAUCUCCUCUUGUAGUCCAGUAAUAGCAACUUUUAAUACACUGCAGGUCUGAGAGCUUCUUAAUACAAAAACUUCCACAGGAGGAUGCACAGCAGGCUGUCAGCUCCUGUUUUUACCAGUGUAGGCAGUGGGAGGGGAUGGCGUGAUCCCAGCUCAGCCCCAUACGUGCAGCAAGCAGCACUUCGGGUGUGAAAGCAAGCGAGGUUCUGGAGCACCCCUCUCCAACAGCAAGGAAUCCCAUGCCUGUGUCUCCUCCUCCAGUGCUCAUAAGCUUGUGGUUAGGCCAAGGUGUCCAGGUCAUGCCAAGGAUGGAAGCAAACAACUUCCCCUUGUCCUCACCUAUAGGGAAAUACAGUUUGUAAAGCUCAGACCGAGGCAAUCAGCCUUUCCACCAGGGCAAUGGCAGCAUAUCCAACGAAAUCCAGUUCUUCUGGAACAGAAGGUCUGAAAUACUGACAGGUUUGUGUGCUGAGCAAUUGCAUCUGCUGACUUCAAGCAAUGCCACAUCUCCAAUAUGCUAUGGAAACGAUGUGGGAAUUAAUAUUUGGGAGAGAAUAUUCAGCAAAGGAGUUAAAAAUCUGCACACACAGAUUUCAACACAGAUCUGCUAGGUGGAGCUUUUCACUCUUCUCCUCUCAAGGAGAAGAGUAUUUUAUGUAUCUUGAGGCAAUGCUGAGACCUCACGUUACCUGGAAGUAUCACAGUAUUUGUUCCUCCUCUGACUAUUAAGCAAACACCCAACAGAGUCUUGUGGAGGAAUCAUUCCCUGUGUAGGUCAGGAGAAGGAAAGGCAACUUGUAGCCUUGCAACAGACAACUGGAUACCGAAACCAAAGGACAAUUUUCACUUUCCCGUUUCCCGUAAGCACCAAAGGGUUUUUCCAGAUGUAGAGAAAACAGCAUUUUCAGAUAUGUACAAAAGUUUAUUUUUAUAAACAGCAACUACUUUUGAAUAACAAAAUUGCAAAAACAGACCAACAUUAGAAAACCAGCUCGGUGGUGCAUUUUCUAUUUGGAGCACAAUUGAACAGGAUUCACUAAGUAAAAAUACUGCCCUCCAAUUCCCUCACAUCUCUCCCCCAACCAUCUCCCAGAUGGAAUUUCUUCAUGAAGCUGGAAUCCAAGAUAUGAAACAGAUAUUGGUAACACUGCAGUCAUUUUGGACAGCGGACUGACCGUAUUCCUAAUUCCCCGCCCUUUCUUGGCUUUAAUGAUCAAUCAAUUCAGAACUGAAACGUGACAAAAUCCGACUUAAGGGCAAUUUUCUUGGCAGAAAUGUUGAGUGGCAAUCCUUAGAUCUGAAUCUUUUGUUACAGUGUCAGACCACUGGUGCUAUUUUCUAUGGAAGGGAAGGAACAAAGGAUGUCAAACUAUGGAAUUGCAAUGAACGUUAUCUUGAGUUAGCAAAGAAUUGUUUGUUUCUGACUCUGAAAUGGCUGCUACUCCGCUAGAAAGAAAUCUGCUAACAUAAUUACCCGAGUAAUGCAAUUUGACAUUAAAUACAUUUUUGAGAACCUGACAAACUACUGAUUUGGAAGGAUUAUGUGCACAGUUUUUCAUGGAGUUACAAGAGCAGGGAGUGUCUGAGCACAGAGCUUUGGGUCCUCCUGGAAAGGUGGGAAAACAGUGACAAAUUCAGGCUCAGGAACCUGUGUACCAUUAUCAUGUGUAGCCCAUUGUUACAGUCUUCAGGCCUUCCUUCUAACUCUGCUUUCGAAGGCCAGAUUUGGGGUACUCAACCAAAAAACCAAUAUGAGUUGAUGGCUAAGCAAGAAAUGUUUACUCUUAAUUUUCAAAGCUGUUGGGUCUUGGCAAGAUUAAAAACAAGUCAUUUUCAAUCUCUGAGAAUAUU